CCUACGGGAGGCAGCAGUGAGGAAUAUUGGUCAAUGGACGAGAGUCUGAACCAGCCAAGUAGCGUGAAGGAUGACUGCCCUAUGGGUUGUAAACUUCUUUUAUAUGGGAAUAAAAUGUUCCACGUGUGGGAUUUUGUAUGUACCAUAUGAAUAAGGAUCGGCUAACUCCGUGCCAGCAGCCGCGGUAAUACGGAGGAUCCGAGCGUUAGCCGGAUUUAUUGGGUUUAAAGGGAGCGUAGGUGGAUUGUUAAGUCAGUUGUGAAAGUUUGCGGCUCAACCGUAAAAUUGCAGUUGAAACUGGCAGUCUUGAGUACAGUAGAGGUUGGCGGAAUUCGUGGUGUAGCGGUGAAAUGCUUAGAUAUCACGAAGAACUCCGAUUGCGAAGGCAGUUCACUGGACUGCAACUGACACUGAGGCUCGAAAGUGUGGGUAUCAAACAGGAUUAGAUACCCGGGUAGUC
rnacentral:rRNA from 1 species